UACGUAGGGUCCGAGCGUUGUCCGGAAUUAUUGGGCGUAAAGGGCUCGUAGGCGGUUCGUCACGUCGGGAGUGAAAACUCGGGGCUUAACCCCGAGCCUGCUUCCGAUACGGGCAGACUAGAGGUAGGCAGGGGAGAGCGGAACUCCUGGUGUAGCGGUGGAAUGCGCAGAUAUCAGGAAGAACACCGGUGGCGAAGGCGGCUCUCUGGGGCCUUACCUGACGCUGAGGAGCGAAAGCGUGGGUAGCGAACAGG
rnacentral:rRNA from 1 species